CUAGUACUCCCUCCGUCCGGAAUUACUUAUCAUUAAAAUGGAUGUAUCUACAACUAAAAUACAUUUUGAUACAUCCAUUUCAAUGACAAGUAUUUCCGGUCGGAGGGAGUAGAUA
rfam:Triticum aestivum genome assembly, contig: Triticum_aestivum_CS42_TGACv1_scaffold_250125_3DL